UAUCAUUUGUAAGUUCUUUUAGGGUUCUUGAGCUGUGCAUUCAUGUCGCCACGGCGAUGGAUCCAAGAAUGACGAACGUAGGGUUUUGGAGGAGGGCGGCGUGGUGGGAGGUACGCUUCCCUAUAUGAAAUUGAUGCGGCAUUGCUCGAGAGAUUGGAAAAAGAGGGAAUUUUUUGUUGAUAGAACCGUUUAGAGCUUCGCUCUUAGAAAGAAUGGAAGAGAGAAGAAACUAAAGCUCGUGGAUUCAACGUAGAGAACAAGGACUAUGGAAAAAUUUAGACCAUGGUGUUGUGGAUAUACAAGCCGAAGGAGUCGUCUCAUCUUUGCAAGUUCACAAAUUCCGUGGAGAAGUUGCAAGCUUCCGGGAUAACUGUAUAUCCUUGAGGAAAGGCUAAUAGACAGUGUCAGGGACGACGAUAACUUACUGCCUGCUCGUCGGUGCUUAUGCUCGCCCGGGAGGAGAUGCGAGACUGUCAUAUCUGGCCAAACUCCUAGAUGACAACGAUACACAGCUCAGUGGCACAAAGGCUGCAGCUCUUGCGAGAGAUGUUUCGAAUGGUGUCUUGGAACUCUUCGUCGAUGAAGGCCGGGCGGCCAGUGAUGGUGAACGACGGCUCGAACUUUCAACAUUAUAAUUAACGGUGAGAGCAGAACCAUGAACGCGAUUGUCGAGGAGAUGCGUUCCGAGUGACUGUUUCCAAACACAACCUCUGUGGAUAUAUACAUUCAAGCACGCUUGUUCCAGUCCAGGCGAUGGAAUGGGACCGUCGCUAGCGGCUUACUCAGCUCAACUGGGAAUGUGCGAGCAUGAAAAAUAUUGAGAUACACCUGGUGAUCAACGCGUUUAGUCUGGUCAGGUGGUGUUCCCGGUGUUUGAAUACAUCAAACGAAGCUGUACGUUUUGUUCGCUGCGACCUUUUGAUGUUUUCGGUUUCAGGGAUUGACAGCUGACAAGAUAACUUAUACAACGCUCAUGAAAGCAUUGAUUAGGCCCGAGAAGCUCGACGAGGUCUCAAAUAUAUUUGAAGAGAUGAUUUAAGGCAGGGUGUGGCACGUCAGAUGGAAAAGCAGAAGACAUGCUUCGCGUUCGCAGUCCUUUCCGAGUCACUUUGUCAUCAAAAGACAGGCUUUUGCGGAGAGGUACUUGGCCAAAUGACAAGCCCAAUCCCUUUGAAGAUUGCAUGGCAGCAAUAUAAGGAGAAGAAUAGCCAGCCGCAGAUCACGCAUAGUCUAUACACUCUGGGGAGUUCUUGAUCCUUGGAUGUUCGCUACGUUCGAAGCAGAGAAAUUCCUAAAGUAACAUCGGUGCAUUUGGAUAAAAAAUGGCUAUGGUCCUGGCACACAACCUUAGUUUUUUCCCCGAAUACAUAAACAAGUGGACAGAACAGAACGGCGAUGUUUGUAACCAUGACAUCGAGGGCGGCACUGGGCGUAUAUUUUAAGUAUGAAAUCCGAGAAAGAUUGGCACGUGGGUGCACAGGAUCUCCAACAAUUCUAGGCAGCUCUGCUGCUCGGAGGAAGAAGAAAAAUGCAAGUAUGUGGUGAGCUGAGGAGGAGGAGGACAGCCUUGGGCUUAUUCUACUCCAAGUAAAAGGAUGGAAAAAGCUGGGAUUUUUAUUUAAAGCGCACCUCUUUGGGUCGUCACCAACGCAUCACCCAACUUAUGACAACGCUCAUGUGCUUCUGCGGAUCGGUUUCUUCCGACUGGUGCCACCGGCUGGUGGUAUGCAUCCAGAUAUUACUUUGCAACUUGCACUGAUGUUCUUGUUUGCUGUUGUUGGAGCGUCAUUGUUGUCACUGCCUUUCGGGUUCUUGACUUUGAACGCCUUGCUCGCUUUGGAUUUGCAACGCUCGGACUGGUUUAAGUGUAGUUCUUGACCACCCGCGCCAGGCACAGGUACUACAAUCAAAAGCUUUGGUCUUGGAAAGACGUCGCUGCUGCUGCCGGAUUGUGUGUCCGCUUUUCAGGAUUUCAGCUGGAGAUCUUUGCUAUCGACUAAUUCCUCGUGGUCCAGCGGGAGCUUCGUCCACGCUUAUGAGCAGCAGCAGCAACGAACGGCUGGCUGGCAUGUUGCGAUAAAUGGUGGGGGCAGAAGCAAUUGCCCAGGCAUGGCAUACGCAGGAAAGACUUGUACCAGCAGAGGGCAGGAACAGCCAUUGUGUGCAUGUGUGCUGUGCUGCCGCAUGCGUGUGUGCCUGAUUUGAUCGCUACAUGCUGAGUGAGACAAAGGAAGUACGACGUUUCUUCCUCAAUUCUUCACCACCAACUGGAGCUUUUAAGAAUUUAAAGGCACCCUCUGCUGCGGGUGCUAAUGCGUGGAGGAAAUCGCACUGUACGUAGUACGAUGCACGUAACUCAUGGACCCAGCAUGGAGAGGGAAAAGCAAACACAAAGAAAAGGAAGAGAGCUAAAGAAUGCGCCCUGGGGGGGAUUGUUUAACAUCCAACUUUCGAGCGGGCAUGCAAGGGAGUUUUAUAGCGGAGAUAGAUCCAAGGCGCGAGGUACUUAGCUCCCGGCUUUAAACCUGGCUUUGUUCUAAUAGUCUACAGCAUCACAGGAGAGAGAGAGAGAAAGAGAGGAAGAAUGGAAGUUCCUUGCAAGUUGGUCCUUUUAUGUCCGCGAAAAGAAGGGCCGCGGUGACAUGAAAUGUUUGCGUUCAACCCUGUUGUCAAAGGGAGACAAUGCACAGAACAAGGACGUUGCUUUACAUGAGAUCUAUCGCAUUUACCCGAUCGAUAAAAUAUGCCUCGAGGAGCCGUGGAGUGGAUUGGUAACAGGAGAAAGACGAGAAAGCAGCGAAGGGACAGGAAUAAAUAACUCAUGCACAGGAUCUCCAUCGCCACCACCGCCACUGUGCAUCGUCGACGGAGACACAAAGACGAGGGAGGGGGAAGCUACUCCGUUUGAUGAUCGAGAAGAGCAGUGAUGACGGGCAGCAGCAGAGUUGGAGCUAGAUCGGGAAGAGCAGUGAUGACGAGCAGCAGCAGAGAUGGAGCUAGAUCGAGAGGACCACCCUCCAGGACAAGGAUGAUAAUGGCCAGCAGAGAGAAUCCAAAGCGCCACAGGCUCCAUGACAACGUAGCAAAGAUGGCGAUGGUGGUGGUGCUGCUGCUGCUAGCUUCACUUCCCAGGACGAUCUCCAGCGAAAGAAUCCAUGGACGAGCAGAGGAAGGGUCAUCUCACAUUGUCCACUCGGACUACGAGCAGCCGGACCCUUUCAUGGAUCC